GAUACACAGAGAGAGAGAAAGAGAUAAAGAGAGAGAGAGAUACAGAAAGAGAGAGAGAGCGAUACAGAGGAGAGCGAUACAGAAAGAGAGAGAUACACAGAGAGAGAUACACACAGAGAGAGAUACAGAGAGAGAGAUACAAGAAGAGAGAGAUACACAGAGAGAGGUACACAAAGAGAGAGACACAGAGAGAGAGAGAUACACAGAGAGAAAGAGAGAUACAAAGAGAGAGAUACAGAGAGAGAGAGAGAGAGAGAGAUACAGAAAGAGAGAGAUACACAGAGAGAGAGAGAGAGAUACAGAGAGAGAGAGCGGUACACAGAGCGAGAGGUACACAGAGAGAGAUACAGAGAGAGAUAAACAGAGAGAGAGAUAUACAGAGAGAUACAGAGAGAAAGAGAGAUACAGAGAGAGAGUUACAGAGAGAGAGAUACAGAGAGCGAGAGCUAUACAGAGAGCAAGAGAAAUACACAGAGAGAGAGAUACACAGAGACAGAGAGUUACAGAGAGAGAGAGAUACACACAGAGAGAGAUACAGAGAGAGAGAGAGAGAGAGAGAUACAGAGAGAGAGAUACAGAGAGAGAGAGUUACACAGAGAGAGAGAUACACAGAGAGAGAGAUAGAGAAACACAGAGAGAGAGAUACAGAGAGAAAGAGAGAUACAGAGAGAGAGAGCGGUACACAGAGCGAGAGGUACACAGAGAGAGAUACAGAGAGAGAUAAACAGAGAGAGAGAUAUACAGAGAGAUACAGAGAGAAAGAGAGAUACAGAGAGAGAGUUACAGAGAGAGAGAUACAGAGAGCGAGAGCUAUACAGAGAGCAAGAGAAAUACACAGAGAGAGAGAUACACAGAGACAGAGAGUUACAGAGAGAGAGAGAUACACACAGAGAGAGAUACAGAGAGAGAGAGAGAGAGAGAGAUACAGAGAGAGAGAUACAGAGAGAGAGAGUUACACAGAGAGAGAGAUACACAGAGAGAGAGAUAGAGAAACACAGAGAGAGAGAUACAGAGAGAAAGAGAGAUACAGAGAGAGAGAGGUACACAGAGAGAGAGAUACACAGAGAGAGAGAUAGAGAAACACAGAGAGAGAGAUACAGAGAGAAAGAGAGAUACAGAGAGAGAUACACAGAGAGAGAGAGAUACACACAGAGAGAGAGAUACAGAGAGAGAGAUAGAGAAACACAGAGAGAGAGAUACAGAGAGAAAGAGAGAUACAGAGAGAAAGAGAGAUACAGAGAGAGAGAUACACAGAGAGAGAGAUAGAGAAACACAGAGAGAGAGAUACAGAGAGAAAGAGAGAUACACAGAGAGAGAGAGAUACACACAGAGAGAGAUACAGAGAGAGAGAGAGAGAUACAGAGAGUUUCUGUUAGGUUUUUAUUGUUUUAUUUUUCUACUUGCCACAAUAGAGAUGUAUGUUAAAGAUACAAAUAUAUAUACACUACCGUUCAAAAGUUUGGGGUCACUUAGAAAUGUCCUUGUUUUUGAAAGAAAAGCUAUUUUUUUGUCCAUUAAAAUAACAUCAAAUUGAUCAGAAAUACAGUGUAGACAUUGUUAAUGUUGUAAAUGACUAUUGUAACUGGAAACGACUGAUGUUUAAUGGAAUAUUUACAUAGGCGUACAGAGGCCCAGUAUCAGCUACCAUCACUCCUGUGUUCCAAUGGCACGUUGUGUUAGCUAAUCCAAGUGUAUCAUUUUAAAAGG
rnacentral:lncRNA from 1 species